UACAGAGGGUGCGAGCGUUAAUCGGAAUUACUGGGCGUAAAGCGCACGUAGGCGGCUUGGUAUGUCGGGUGUGAAAUCCCCGGGCUCAACCUGGGAACUGCAUCCGAAACUGCCUUGCUCGAGUAUGGGAGAGGGAAGUGGAAUUUCCGGUGUAGCGGUGAAAUGCGUAGAUAUCGGGAGGAACACCGAUGGCGAAGGCAGCACUCUGGGCCGGUACUGACGCUGAGGAGCGAAAGCGUGGGGAGCGAACAGG
rnacentral:rRNA from 1 species